rnacentral:rRNA from 1 species
AGAGUUUGAUCACUGGCUCAGAACGAACGCUGGCGGCAGGCUUAACACAUGCAAGUCGAACGAUAUAGUGGCAGACGGGUGAGUAACGCGUGGGAACGUGCCUUUCACUAAGGAAUAGCUUUUGGAAACGAAAGGUAAUACCUUAUACGCCCUUCGGGGGAAAGAUUUAUCGGUGAAAGAUCGGCCCGCGUUAGAUUAGCUAGUUGGUGAGGUAAUGGCUCACCAAGGCUACGAUCUAUAGCUGGUCUGAGAGGACGACCAGCCACACUGGGACUGAGACACGGCCCAGACUCCUACGGGAGGCAGCAGUGGGGAAUAUUGCACAAUGGGCGCAAGCCUGAUGCAGCCAUGCCGCGUGAAUGAUGAAGGCCUUAGGGUUGUAAAAUUCUUUCGCUAGGGAUGAUAAUGACAGUACCUAGUAAAGAAGCCCCGGCUAACUUCGUGCCAGCAGCCGCGGUAAUACGAAGGGGGCUAGCGUUGUUCGGAAUUACUGGGCGUAAAGCGUACGUAGGCGGACUAUUAAGUCAGAUGUGAAAUCCCGAGGCUCAACCUCGGAACUGCAUUUGAAACUGGUAGUCUAGAGAUCAGGAGAGGUUAGUGGAAUACCGAGUGUAGAGGUGAAAUUCGUAGAUAUUCGGUGGAACACCAGUGGCGAAGGCGACUAACUGGACUGAUACUGACGCUGAGGUACGAAAGUGUGGGGAGCAAACAGGAUUAGAUACCCUGGUAGUCCACACCGUAAACGACGAGAGCUAGUUGUCUGCAGGCAUGCCUGUAGGUGACGCAGCUAACGCAUUAAGCUCUCCGCCUGGGGAGUACGGCCGCAAGGUUAAAACUCAAGGGAUUGACGGG